rnacentral:rRNA from 1 species
AACGCUGGCGGCGUGCUUAACACAUGCAAGUCGAACGAUGAAGCCUUUCGGGGUGGAUUAGUGGCGAACGGGUGAGUAACACGUGGGCAAUCUGCCCUUCACUCUGGGACAAGCCCUGGAAACGGGGUCUAAUACCGGAUAACACUCUGUCCCGCAUGGGACGGGGUUAAAAGCUCCGGCGGUGAAGGAUGAGCCCGCGGCCUAUCAGCUUGUUGGUGGGGUAAUGGCCUACCAAGGCGACGACGGGUAGCCGGCCUGAGAGGGCGACCGGCCACACUGGGACUGAGACACGGCCCAGACUCCUACGGGAGGCAGCAGUGGGGAAUAUUGCACAAUGGGCGAAAGCCUGAUGCACCGACGCCGCGUGAGGGAUGACGGCCUUCGGGUUGUAAACCUCUUUCAGCAGGGAAGAAGCGAAAGUGACGGUACCUGCAGAAGAAGCGCCGGCUAACUACGUGCCAGCAGCCGCGGUAAUACGUAGGGCGCAAGCGUUGUCCGGAAUUAUUGGGCGUAAAGAGCUCGUAGGCGGCUUGUCACGUCGGAUGUGAAAGCCCGGGGCUUAACCCCGGGUCUGCAUUCGAUACGGGCUAGCUAGAGUGU